UGGUGGAGUGAUUUGUCUGCUUAAUUGCGAUAACGAACGAGACCUUAACCUGCUAAAUAGCCCGCCGGCGUCUGCCGGCCGCUGGCUUCUUAGAGGGACUAUCGGCUCAAGCCGAUGGAAGUUUGAGGCAAUAACA
rnacentral:rRNA from 1 species